AACGAACGCUGGCGGCAUGCCUAACACAUGCAAGUCGAACGAGACCUUCGGGUCUAGUGGCGCACGGGUGCGUAACGCGUGGGAACCUGCCCUUAGGUUCGGAAUAACUCCCCGAAAGGGGUGCUAAUACCGGAUAAUGUCUUCGGACCAAAGAUUUAUCGCCUUUGGAUGGGCCCGCGUUGGAUUAGCUAGUUGGUAGGGUAAAAGCCUACCAAGGCGACGAUCCAUAGCUGGUCUGAGAGGAUGAUCAGCCACACUGGGACUGAGACACGGCCCAGACUACUACGGGAGGCAGCAGUGGGGAAUAUUGGAAGAUGGGCGAAGGCCUGAACCAGCUAUGCCGCGUGAGUGAUGAAGGCCGUAGGGUAGUAAAGCUCUUUUACCCGGGAUGAUAAUGACGGUACCGGGAGAAUAAGCACCGGCUAACUCCGUG
rnacentral:rRNA from 1 species